rnacentral:rRNA from 1 species
GGCGAACGCUGGCGGCGUGCUUAACACAUGCAAGUCGAACGGAAAGGCCCUGCUUUUGUGGGGUGCUCGAGUGGCGAACGGGUGAGUAACACGUGAGUAACCUGCCCUUGACUUUGGGAUAACUUCAGGAAGCUGGGGCUAAUACCGGAUAGGAGCUCCUGCUGCAUGGUGGGGGUUGGAAAGUUUCGGCGGUUGGGGAUGGACUCGCGGCUUAUCAGCUUGUUGGUGGGGUAGUGGCUUACCAAGGCUUUGACGGGUAGCCGGCCUGAGAGGGUGACCGGCCACAUUGGGACUGAGAUACGGCCCAGACUCCUACGGGAGGCAGCAGUGGGGAAUAUUGCACAAUGGGCGGAAGCCUGAUGCAGCAACGCCGCGUGCGGGAUGACGGCCUUCGGGUUGUAAACCGCUUUCGCCUGUGACGAAGCGUGAGUGACGGUAAUGGGUAAAGAAGCACCGGCUAACUACGUG